GGAGGUUAGUGGAAUUUCCGGUGGAGCGGUGAAAUGUGUUGAUAUCGGAAAGAACGCCGAAAGCGAAAGCAGCUAACUAUGAUACUUCUGACGGUGAUGGACGAAAGCUUGAGUAGCAAACGGGAUUAGAUACCCCGGUAGUUCAAGCUGUAAAUUAUCCUUGCUAGGUGUCUCCAUAACUCUUGUGAUAGCAACUGUUAUCAUAAAAGUUAUGGAGGUGCCGUAAGUUAACACGUUAAGCAAGGCGCCUGAGUAGUAUAUUCGCAAGAAUGAAACUCAAAGGGAUAGGCGGGGGAACACACAAGCAGUGGAUGAUCUAGAUUAAUUGGAUACUAAGCCAAGAAUCUUACCCAGACUUGACAUGGAUUGUGUCUACGAUGAAAGUCGUAUAGCUGUAGCAAUACAGCGCUUUUCACAGAUGGUGCAUGGUCGUCGUCAGCUCGUGCCGCAAGGUGUCUAGUUAAGUCUAGUAACGAGCGCAACCCUCAUCGUUAGUUAAAUAUGUCUAACGAGACUGCCCGCGUAAGCGGGAGGAAGGAGAGGAUGACGUCAGAUCCUCAUGCCUCUUACGUCUGGGGCUUCAUAGAUCAUACAAUGGGUAGAUACAGCGAGAAGCGAUACCGUAAGGUGGAGCAAAUCUUCAAAGCUACCCUCAGUUCGGAUUGUAGUCUGGAAUUCGACUACAUGAAGUUGGAAUUGCUAGUAAUGGCGAAUCAGCCAUGUCGCCGUGAAUACGUUCCCGGGCCUUGUACACACCGCCCGUCACACCAUGGGAGUGGG
rnacentral:rRNA from 1 species